UACGUAGGGACCAAGCGUUGUUCGGAUUUACUGGGCGUAAAGGGCGCGUAGGCGGCGUGGUAAGUCACUUGUGAAAUCUCUGAGCUUAACUCAGAACGGCCAAGUGAUAACUGCUGUGCUAGAGUGCAGAAGGGGCAAUCGGAAUUCUUGGUGUAGCGGUGAAAUGCGUAGAUAUCAAGAGGAACACCUGAGGUGAAGACGGGUUGCUGGGCUGACACUGACGCUGAGGCGCGAAAGCCAGGGGGAGCAAACGGG
rnacentral:rRNA from 1 species